rnacentral:misc_RNA from 1 species
UUAACUAUUGUAUAGUACUCAGACGACACUAACAUUCGGAGUUUGAAGGCCUCUGGCGGGCGCGCGCCGCCUAUUAGACGCCGGCGGCCGGGGGACCCGGCGGCCCGCCAAAGAAACGACAGUAGCAAUAACAGUGGGUGGGAGAUCUACCCGCGAGGGCGAGAACUCUGUAAUGAUCCCUCCGCAGGUUCACCUACGGAGA